rnacentral:rRNA from 1 species
GUAACGGCGAGUGAAGCGGCAACAGCUCAAAUUUGAAAUCUGGCCUUCGGGUCCGAGUUGUAAUUUGCAGAGGAUGCUUUUGACGAGGUGGCGACCGAGUGCCCUGGAACGGGCCGCCGUAGAGGGUGAGAGCCCCGUAUGGUCGCACUGCCGAGUCUCUGUAAAGCUCCUUCAACGAGUCGAGUAGUUUGGGAAUGCUGCUCUAAAUGGGAGGUGUAUGUCUUCUAAAGCUAAAUACCGGCCAGUGACCGAUAGCGCACAAGUAGAGUGAUCGAAAGGUGAAAAGAACUUUGAAAAGAGAGUUAAAAAGUACGUGAAAUUGUCAAAAGGGAAGCAUUUAUGACCAGACUUGGGCGUGGUUGAUCAUCCGGCGUUCUCGCCGGUGCACUCUGCCCGCCUAGGCCAGCAUCAAUUCGCCUCGGGGGAGAAAGGCUUCGGGAAUGUGGCUCUUCGGAGUGUUAUAGCCCGUUGCGUAAUGCCCUGGGGUGGACUGAGGUCCGCGCUCGCGCUUGGAUGUUGGCAUAAUGGUCAUCAAUGACCCGUCUUGAAACACGGACCAAGGAGUCGUCUUCGUAUGCGAGUGUUCGGGUGUCAAACCCCUACGCGAAAUGAAAGUGAACGCAGGUGGGAGCUUCGGCGCACCACCGACCGAUCCUGAUGUUCUCGGAUGGAUUUGAGUAAGAGCAUACGGGGCCGGACCCGAAAGAAGGUGAACUAUGCCUGUGUAGGGUGAAGCCAGAGGAAACUCUGGUGGAGGCUCGCAGCGGUUCUGACGUGCAAAUCGAUCGUCAAACA